rnacentral:ncRNA from 1 species
CAUCGUGAGGUGGAAUCUGAAAGAAGUCAAGAGCAAAAUCUCGGUCUGACGAACAGAAAUCACAUAUAAGGCUGAAUUGAGUUGGGCGAGCUUGCCAAACAAAGCAAAGCCCUAGUAACUAUUCAAGGCUCAUACAGUAAAUGUGGCAGAUAUAUGAGAGGAAGGUUGUU